GACGAACGCUGGCGGCGUGCUUAACACAUGCAAGUCGAACGAAGUGGCGAACGGGUGAGUAACGCGUAAUCAACCUGCCCUUCAGAGGGGGACAACAGUUGGAAACGACUGCUAAUACCGCAUACUGAAGGCGUGGAUUGCGUCUGAUUAGCUAGUUGGAGGGGUAACGGCCCACCAAGGCGAUGAUCAGUAGCCGGACUGGGAGGAUGAACGGCCCAAUCGGGACUGAGAAACGGCUCAGACUCCUACGGGAAGCAGCAGUGGGGAAUCUUCCGGAAGUGACGAAAGUCUGACGGAGCAAAGGCGGGUGAGUGAUGACGGCUUUCGGGUUGUAAAGCCCUGGUAAUCGGGGCGCGGUACCGAAAUAGAAAGCCACGGCUAACUACGUGCCAGCAGCCGCGGUAAUUC
rnacentral:rRNA from 1 species